UACGCUGCUCGCAAGUUCAUUACAUCUAGAAAAGGAAAAAUCAACUGUUGUUGUUGUUGUUGUGGCCAAAGAUGAUUUAGAGCAUUUAUGUUGACUUGUGGAGGAGAAAGAUGGUGGCCCUUCUUGGAUUCAGAUGAUGGAUAGGUCUACACCCAGUUUGAGCUAUCAAGCUUGGCGGAGAGAUCCUGAGAAUGGGCCCCCGCAAUACCGUAGCAGGACAGUCUUUGAGGAUGCCACUCCUGAGAUGGUAAGGGAUUUAUUUUGGGAUGAUGAUUUUCGAUUGAAGUGGGAUGACAUGCUUAUAUAUGCUGAAACUUUGGAAGAGUGCCCCAACACGGGAACCAUGGUAGUUCGGUGGGUACGCAA